AGAAGAAGAACAACAAAAUGCAAACUCAGAGGUGGGAAUCACAAAAGAGGGGGUGCAUAACGAAGUAAAGCCCAAACGAAAGGUGAAGAGGCCCACUUACCUUCACGACUUCGUUUGAAGAAAACUGCCAAAACAGAAGCUUCUGCAAAUCCUUCCCAGAUCGCCUUGCUUGGAAUUGUGAUCCUGCUGAGCAAUUCUUAUCAAUAAAACGGUUAUUGUAAUAUUCCUAGGAUUAUUCCAUAUUAGGAAUUCUAUAAAAACCAUGUAAUAACAAGCAAAGGCAAUAAGAAAAUUACAAGCUUCUUCCUUCUUCUUUCGUGCUCUGCUCCUUCCUCAUUUCUGGAGGUGCUAGACCUCGAAUUCUAGCUCUUGAUACUUUGCACCUAACAUUUUUGGUGCUCUUGUUGUCCUUUUCACCAUGCCAGACUCUCAUUCUCACGAUACUUUCCCACGUUCCCUUGAGGACAUUCUCCUCCGCCUGGGUGACACCAUGAACACUGUGACCCUCAAACUUGAUGAAAUACUCCACCACCUAUCCCCAAGCUCUUCUUCCCCAAACCCUCAGCCAACCCCAAUCCAACCCCAACCUAACCCUGCACCUGCAACAUUACACAAAAUGAAAUUAGAGGUUCCGAGAUUCGAUGGAACUGAACCUCUCGGGUGGAUAUUCAAAAUUAAUCAAUACUUUGAAUAUCACGGCACCCCGGAACGCGAUCGUCUCACAAUCGCCUUGUUUUAUAUGGAGGGACGAGCACUUGCGUGGUUCCAAUGGAUGACCAACAAUGCUCAGUUCACCUCUUGGCCGGGAUUUUUGAAGGCAUUGUAGACCCAUUUUGCCCCGUCACAAUACGAGGACCCUACGGGUGCGCUUUUCAAGUUAACUCAGAAGGGUUCAGUAGGCCAAUACCUGUCGGAAUUUGAGGAUUUAGCGAAUCGUAUUAUCGGGCUCCCUCCUCCCUUCAUUCUCAGCUGCUUUAUCUCGGGGCUGUCGCCGGAGAUACGACGUGAAGUCCAGGCCUUACAACCCCUCACUUUAGUGCAAGCAGCGGGGCUAGCACGUUUGCAGGAAGAGAAAUUAGCCGAUAUACGACCACCGCCUCGACCGCGACCUCCACCCCCACCACAACUUUCCCCUCACACGAACCCUAACCUAAACACCUCUCGUUCACCCUCACUACCACCAUUAUUACUUGCACCACCGCGUCAGCCUCCCCCUGUGAUGAAACGCUUGUCAUCGGAGGAGAUAACCUCACGCCGUGAGUGUGGGUUAUGCUUCAACUGUGACGAGCGUUACCACCGGGGUCACCGCUGCGCCUCUCGUGUGUUCUUACUCAUCACUGAAGAAAAGGACCCUCCUUCAGUUAAUAUAGACCCUAAUAACCCGCAACCCAAUACCAUACCUGACCCACCUGAAGUAACUGACCCAUACCCGGCCCACAUAAGCCUACACUCAUUAUCAGGCCAUCAUGCCCCGGAAACGCUGCGUUUUGAAGGAGUUAUUCAUGCUCAUCCUCUGGUGCUCCUCGUUGACGGAGGAAGCACCCAUAACUUUGUCCAGCAGCAACUGGUCUCUCGAUUGGGGCUACCUUGCCGUUCCACACCACCGCUGCGAGUCAUGGUGGGAAAUGGUCAUCACCUGGAAUGCACUACAAUUUGUGAAGUUGUUCCUAUUUCGAUUCUGAACAUCAAAUUCUUGGUGGACCUUUAUGUUCUACCUAUUGCCGGAGCCAACAUCGUGUUGGGUGUCCAAUGGCUUAAAACAUUAGGCCCUAUCCUCACGGAUUAUAAUUCCUUAAGCAUGCAAUUUUUCUAUCAGCACUGCUUGGUCCAAUUAAAAGGGGAAAGUGAAGCUCAAUUGGGCCUUUUGAACCAUCAUCAGCUUCGUCGUCUCCACCAGACACAUGAACCCGUCACUUACUUUCAUAUAGCCAUCCUUACUGAAAACACUUCACCCACAAGCUCACCACCAUUACCCCAACCCAUCCAACACUUACUAGACCAGUUUUCAGCCUUGUUCCAAGAGCCUCAGGGACUUCCACCAGCCUGAGAAACUGAUCAUCACAUACACCUGCUACCCCAAUCCGAACCCGUGAAUGUGCGCCCCUACCGGUAUCCCCAUUACUAGAAAAACGAGAUUGAACACCAAGUCAACCUCAUGCUUCAGAAGGGACUGAUCCAACCUAGUACAAGCCCCUUCUCCUCUCCCGUCCUUCUUGUAAGGAAACAUGAUGGAAGCUGGAGGUUCUGUGUGGACUACAGGGCCCUCAACGCGGUCACGGUCCGAGACCGGUUUCCUAUUCCCACAAUAGAUGAGCUCUUAGACGAGCUCGGAGGUGCUCAAUAUUUCUCCAAACUUGACCUGUUGCAAGGUUAUCACCAGAUAAGGAUGCAUGGCCCCGAUAUUCCCAAAACGGCAUUUAGAACUCACCACGGCCAUUACGAAUUCAAAGUAAUGCCGUUUGGUCUCUACAACGCACCAUCUUCGUUUUAGGCGACGAUGAACAACAUUUUCCGGCAACACCUCCGUCACUUUAUUAUAGUGUUCUUUGACGAUAUACUCAUUUAUAGUAAUUCCUUUGAGACCCAUAUACAACACUUGACAACAGCAUUCCAGGUCCUCCUCGAUAAUCAAUUUGUUUUGAAAUUAUCAAAAUGCUUUUGCGCGCAGUUGCAGGUUGAAUAUUUAGGCCAUAUGGUCUCGAAGAAGGGAGUAGAACCGGUAGCCUCGAAGGUAGAGGCCAUCCUUCAAUGGCCCAUACCUCAAUCUUCUAGGGUUGUGCGUGGCUUCCUGGGACUUGCCGGAUUCUAUCGGCGUUUCAUAAAGGGAUAUGCCACCAUUGCUUCUCCCCUGGUAAAGCUCACCACAAAAGAACCUUUUUAGUGGACACCCCAAGCACAAUCAGCUUUUGAACACCUUAAGGCAGCUCUGUCCUCAGCUCCGGUACUCACCUUACCAAAUUUUCAGCUCCCAUUCACGGUGGAGACGGACGCCUCCGGCGUCGGAAUGGGUGCAGUUCUUUCUCAAUGUGGCCACCCUAUUGCGUAUUUCAACAAACCUUUCAGCCCUAAGCUUCUCCGCGCCUCCACAUACAUUCAAGAGCUGUUCGCAAUCACUGCCGCAAUUAAAAAAUGGCGCCAAUACCUUCUCGGUCAACGCUUCACGAUUUUGACUGGCCAUCGCAGCCUCAAGGAACUCCUCACCCAGGUUAUACAGACGCCGGAACAACACAUGUACUUAGCUCGCCUCAUGAGCUACGAUUACACAAUUCAAUAUCGGGCCGGAAACCGUAACCAAGCUGUAGAUGCAUUAUCACGAUUACCAUAACAGGGCUCUUCCCUUCUGAUGAUUCUCUUUGUUCCUUCAUUAACAUUCCUCGAGGAGCUUCGCCGACAACUCCAAGCUCACCCAGAAUACGUACGCUGCUGGCAGGAAAUUGAGCAGAAUCCAUCCAAUUUUCCCACCUUCACGAUUUCACAAGAGUUGAUUCUGCAUAAGGGUCACAUUUGGUUACCUCGUGAAUUACCCAUCACCUCCACAUUACUUUUGGAGUAUCACACUACACCCACAGGGGGCCACGCCGGAAUCGCAAAAACAUUAGCAAGGAUAUCGGAAAAUUUUAGCUGGACCGGCAUCCGUGAAGAUGUCAAACAAUUUGUCACCAAUUGCUUGGAUUGCCAGAUAACCAAGUAUGAAACCCAGAAGGUAGCAGGUUUGUUGUGUCCUCUUCCGGUACCUUGCCGGCCAUGGGAGGACCUCUCCCUUGACUUUAUCGUGGGAUUACCACCGUACCAAGGCCACACCACCAUCCUCGUUGUGGUGGACCGCUUCUCGAAGGGGAUACAUUUAGGCACGCUUCCGGCAGCUCACACCGCAUACAUGGUGGCAACCUUAUUCAUCAACGUGGUGGUUAAGAUUCAUAGCGUUCCUCGGAGUCUAGUCUCCGACCGAGAUCCUCUUUUCAUAAGUCACUUUUGGCAGGAAUUAUUCUGAGCUAGCGAUACCCACCUGAGGAUGAGUUCUGCUUACCAUCCUCAGAGUGAUGGUCAAACAGAAGUCAUCAAUAGGGUUGUGGAACAAUACCUGUGUGCCUUCGUGCACCGACGACCUCAGAGAUGGGGUAAGCUUCUUCCAUGGAUAGAGUGGUCCCACAAUACUUCGUGGAAUGCAGGGACAGGGUCAACCCCCUAUGAGGUAACGUUUGGCCGGAAGCCAUUCAAUUUCCCGGAGUACAUCUCCGGCACCUCAAACAUUGAAGCUGUUGAGGAUUUGCUAACUGAUAGAGACGCUACUUUUCAAACCAUUCGUAAGAAAUUGCUAAAGGCACAAGACCAGAUGAAGAAGCAAGCUGAUCACAAGCGUCGGGAGGUGAAUUAUCAGGUGUGCAAUUUGGUUCUUCUCCGGUUACGACCCUACCGGCAAUCUUCGACCAAGGGAAAUUCUUCAGUUUCCGCCAAGCUUGCAAAACGUUUCUACGGUCCAUUCCAAGUUAUUGAAAGAAUUGGCCCUGUUGCCUAUAAGCUCAAGUUACCUGACGAGGCAAAAAUACAUCCAGUAUUCCAUUGUUCUAAGCUCAAACCCUUUCGAGGGACCCCAACACCACCAUCAACAGAGACCUUCCCAUCCACUUUCAUCAAUGAUCAACCCCUGAUUUCUCCCUUGGCCAUCUUAGACCACCGAAGAACAUCACCAGAGGCUCCUUGGGAAGUCUUAGUUCAAUGGAGAGGUCUCUCCCCCGACGAGACCUCAUGGGAAAAUUGGACCAAGCUACAGGAAGAGUAUCACCUUGAGGGCAAGGUGAUUUUACAAGGACCCAGGGAUGAUACGAACAAGACAAUAUCAACAGAAGAAGAACAACAAAAUGCAAACUCAGAGGUGGGAAUCACAAAAGAGGGGGUGCAUAACGAAGUAAAGCCCAAACGAAAGGUGAAGAGGCCCACUUACCUUCACGACUUCGUUUGAAGAAAACUGCCAAAACAGAAGCUUCUGCAAAUCCUUCCCAGAUCGCCUUGCUUGGAAUUGUGAUCCUGCUGAGCAAUUCUUAUCAAUAAAACGGUUAUUGUAAUAUUCCUAGGAUUAUUACAUAUUAGGAAUUCUAUAAAAACCAUGUAAUAACA
rnacentral:lncRNA from 1 species